AGUGAACGCUGGCGGCAGGCCUAACACAUGCAAGUCGAACGGCAGCACAGUAAGAGCUUGCUCUUACGGGUGGCGAGUGGCGGACGGGUGAGGAAUACAUCGGAAUCUACUUUUUCGUGGGGGAUAACGUGGGGAAACUUACGCUAAUACCGCAUACGACCUACGGGUGAAAGCAGGGGAUCUUCGGACCUUGCGCGAUUGAAUGAGCCGAUGUCGGAUUAGCUAGUUGGCGGGGUAAAGGCCCACCAAGGCGACGAUCCGUAGCUGGUCUGAGAGGAUGAUCAGCCACACUGGAACUGAGACACGGUCCAGACUCCUACGGGAGGCAGCAGUGGGGAAUAUUGGACAAUGGGCGCAAGCCUGAUCCAGCCAUACCGCGUGGGUGAAGAAGGCCUUCGGGUUGUAAAGCCCUUUUGUUGGGAAAGAAAAGCAGCAGGUUAAUACCCCGCUGUUCUGACGGUACCCAAAGAAUAAGCACCGGCUAACUUCGUG
rnacentral:rRNA from 1 species